ensembl:lncRNA
AGCUGAAUAUGUGCAAGAGGUGGCACAGCCCUGUGUUUGUGACUGGACCGGUAUCACACUCUUUGCCUGCUACAGCACUAGCCCCAUACCAGCUCUUCCAGCUCCAGCUGCCAUACAUUAAACAUGUGUCAGGGAUCUCACUGGGCCCACAAUCCUCUCAAAGCCCCACUGCCAGCAAAUCAAAAGCACCAUUCUACCAGGUACUUCAGAGUGGAAAGGAAGGACAGUGAUGUUAAGCCUGUGGGAAUUGAAUGCAAGUAAAAUUCCCUCUCAGAGAACUGCACUGCCACAUUUUCAGACCACGGAAUGCCAACAAGCUGUUUUCCCCUCUGAAUAAGCCGGGCCUAUGAAGAAAAUGUGAAAAUAGGAGAACCAUGAGCAAUAUUUACAAUAAUGAUAUAUCCAACUCAGGAAAUUGCUACAACUGCCUUUAUCAAAAUAAACAAACCCCGUAUUUUUUUCCUCCCGUAAGAGAAAAGCAAAAUCCUCCACUAUUAAAAUUAAUUUGGCUUGGUAUCUGUUUGGUAUUUGGAUCCGACCGCCUUAUUCCCCAUUUUUGGCCUCAUUUGGACAAAAAAAAAGAAAAAAAAAGAAAAACACAAACCCACAACAAACAGAGGCCCAAACCGACACACACACACACACACACACACACAGCCCCAGCUGCCUCGCUCUGUCUCACAGGAGCACACACGCAGCCCCGCUCCAAGCUGACUCUGGCCACGGGGCACGGUGAGGCACGAAACCACCGCCCCGGGGCACCAGCUCAGUGUGGGAGUGUUGGAUCACUGCCUGCUCGGCACCGCACAACUGCACACCCAGAGCCGGGCGGUUCCAGGGGCACCGGCCCUGCGGAUCACCCCAUCCCGGGGCUUGGGCUCGCUGGGUGCCAGCCCCAGCAUCGCACGCUGGUUCCAAGUUUACUGAAGCAUGCUGCAGCCUUUGCUGCUGUGCCCAGUUUGCAGAUGGACUUUGUGCCAUCAAAAGGGAGAAGGUUUUUUUGGUUUUUUGUUUUGAUUUGUUUUGUUUUGUUUUAGAAUAUGCCAUUUCAAAGUAAAUUGAUUUCUUCUACUGAAAAAGUUUUUAGGAUUAAAGAGCCCUCGCUGCAUACAGAAAAACAUUUCUCCUAUUCCAACUCUUUCUGUGCUCAAAUGCCUCUUUCCUAGGCGUGUCCUAAAACGCAGAGGUAUGUCGCAGUCAUUCUAAAAGUUGUUUGAAACGUUAAGGUGAGGCUGGGCUUCUGCUAAAGGGUGAGACCCCCAGGGCCAGGAUCGCUGCCCUCCAGCGGGAUGCUGCCCACCUGCGCUGGCCCAGAAGAAGCACCAGGAGCUCAAAAGCACGGCCACCCCUCUGGGGGCAUCCCCAGAGAACCCGCAGCCACCCUUCCUGGGGCCGCAUCAGCUGCCCCUCUGCAGGUGACCACAGCGCCUUUGGGACCCCACGUCCUAAAGCUGGAGGUCUGAGCUCCAGGAGGAGAGGCAGUGCGAAGCCAUGAGAGCACUGGAGGUCUGUCAACAAAGUAUUAAUGUAGAAGCCCGAGUGAAAAGCAGAAAAGAAAAGAAAAAAAAAAAAAAAAGAAAGAAAGAAAAGAAAAAAGCAAUCAAUGAAUGCCAUUCCCCAGCUAAGAGACGAGCCACCAAUUCUUGGCACAGCGAUAGAGAAAACCUUGAAAAGUUUCGCUCGGGUUCUGGAAUAAAGCUUUGGAUAAAAUGGAGCAAGUAGUUUGCACGGUCGUCGUGCCAGUGAAUAGAUCUGCUGCUCUGGAUUUCAAUUAACUUAGUUUGUUCAGCGGGGAGGCACUUCAGCUGCAACCGGGGAGCUGCAAGUUAAAGGACAGCGAGAAAAACAGCGCAACAACAGCCAGAAAAACCUGUUGGCAGCAGAAGUUUGCACCGGCUGCAAGCAAAAUCAAAUCACAUCAAAUCAGGGGGUUUUAAAGAAAUCUUUUAAAGGCUUUGAAGGUUUCGGAGGAUCUCCGAGGCAGUCCCAGGUGAUCGUCGCUGUGGAGAGACCUCCACCGAUCAGCGUCCAUUUUACAUAAUUACUUCGGGUUCUCCAGAACAUUUUAUGUAACUCACUUCCACGGCUGCCUCUGUCCUUUCUCCUCUCUCUCCGUCACCGGCAGAGCAGCAGCUCAGCCCUCCGCCAGCACUGACAGGAGCUCACAUAAAAGGACCAUUUCGAAUGGAUCACUGGGAGCAGCCCCGAGAACCCACAGGAAACGUGGGCUCCGAAACUCGACAGUGCUCAGCGGGCGACGAAACGCAUCACACAUCCCUCCCCAGCCAAAAAUGUGUAUGCAUAUAUAUAAACAUAUACAUAUAAUAAGGAUUAAUUCGGAGGAAAGCUCCGAGGUUUGAAACGACAAAUAAGCAGGGAUAUUUGCGCGAGGAAAAAAAAAAAUGGUAAAUAAAUAGUUACUGGUGCUGGACAAAAUGGCUCGAUAGGUUUCAUAAUUUGCCACCGCUGUAAAAAAUAUCCCCUCCCUUCCCCCUGCCGUCCCCGCCGGCACGGACGGAAGCGCGGAGCGGAGGGUGGGGGGCAGCCGAGGAUACCAACUCCCUCCGCCAAAGUUUGGGUCCUUCCGAACCCGGCGAUGCCUCCAUAACGUGACAUCAGCUCCGAGAGACAAAAGUUGAGAUCUGCGUCUCCUUUCUGCCCGGGAAAGGAAACUGGAAAAAUACUAAUAAUGAAAAAUAGACGUUAAAAAUACCCGAGAGGAAAAAGUCGACGGACGAUCACCCGAAUUAACCCCCUCCGCCCCCGCAGGCAAACAGACAAACGACAAAACCUCCGGCUAAAGCCCCGUCGGGAGGAGUGGAACCUGCUUUCUCCGCUUUCUCUUUUCUGCUUUUAUUUAACGUAUGGCGAGCCUGGACUUCAAACUUAUAGCCGACACACGGCCACACAACAAAGAGUCCCCGUUCACCCCCGUCGCCGGCGCUGCGGGCAGAAGUCGUCGGCAAAUAGCCAAGGGUAGUUCACAUAGAGGGCUGGCUUCGCACACGCUCAGCCCGCUCCUCGUAUUCUUUGGAUGGAGGAAGGCUGGCAGCAAGGUGCACAGACAAAAGACCGGGGAGCCAACGCACGCAAUCACUCGCUGCUACAUCUUCACGUAUUUUUACAAUACGCUCUCCUAUCCACACCGCUUCCAAAAUAAUUUUCAGCCAGCCCUGCCUCUCGUCGCACGUAAACUUACGCCGUCACAGGAAUUCUGUUGACUCUCAUGAUGACAUAUGAAAGUGGCAAAACGAGGUUUUGCGCCCGGAUUUCGCCUUCAGACAAAGCUCCCCCAGCAACUUCAUCAGCAGGGAAUUAUAGUUUCACCCGGAGAAACUGGGUCCAAGGGAAAAAGAAAAUAAAAGUUAAGUGGUAUUGCCAUGGCUAUGCUAUGAAUCAUAGAUUCACAGAAUCACAGAGUCAUUGAAUCACAGAAGGGUUGGGUUGGAAGGGACCUGGAAGCCCAUCCGGCUCCAACCCUGUGCCGUGGGCAGGGCUGCCCCCCAGCAGCUCAGGCUGCUCAGGGCCCCAUCCAACCUGGCCUUGAGCACCUGUAGGGAUGUGGAAAAUCAGUGGACAAACAAACGAGGAUCCAAAUCUUUUGAUGUUGAAUGGAGAAUUUACCUCAAGUAACUCAGAGUCAACUAAAAGUUAAGCGUCCUGUCUGAAGCAGUCGCAUAGGCUCUCCGUGUUGUUGGUGGAGAGACAGGCACCUCCAAAAAGCCCUUCCGCCCAGCUCCCCGUGCCCCUAAAUGAGGAGGGAGCCUACAGAACACAAUGAGUGCCAGAUUUGGAGAGAGCCUGCUCACCGUCACCUCCUCUCAAGUACAUGAGCAGUUGGUGCUAAUGCACUUGGUUCACCUGCAAGAAGAGGAAAGACUCAGAGCCCUAAGAACAUGCUGAUCUUCAAGAGCAAAUGGGAAACAGGGAAAGUCAAACUCUUCCCCAGACCUGAUACGGCUGCGCAAGUUUUUGUUGCACAUGACAAGAUUCUGGAUGACAGACUGGGAGGGAAGGAAUGUGCUUCAGUGCCAAAUAA